rnacentral:rRNA from 1 species
GCUGAACGCUGGCGGCGUGCCUAAUACAUGCAAGUCGAGCGAACAGACGAGGAGCUUGCUCCUCUGACGUUAGCGGCGGACGGGUGAGUAACACGUGGAUAACCUACCUAUAAGACUGGGAUAACUUCGGGAAACCGGAGCUAAUACCGGAUAAUAUAUUCAACCGCAUGGUUCAAUAGUGAAAGACGGGUUUUCUGUCACUUAUAGAUGGAUCCGCGCCGCAUUAGCUAGUUGGUAAGGUAACGGCUUACCAAGGCAACGAUGCGUAGCCCACCUGAUAGGGUGAUCGGCCACACUGGAACUGAGACACGGUCCAGACUCCUACGGGAGGCAGCAGUAGGGAAUCUUCCGCAAUGGGCGAAAGCCUGACGGAGCAACGCCGCGUGAGUGAUGAAGGUCUUCGGAUCGUAAAACUCUGUUAUUAGGGAAGAACAAAUGUGUAAGUAACUAUGCACGUCUUGACGGUACCUAAUCAGAAAGCCACGGCUAACUACGUG